AGGUUGCCAUCAAGCGGAUGCGCAAGACUGACAACAAUCGUUACCUUGAUAUUCCUGGGCAUCCCGAACCUCUCGUUACAGAAGUGGCGCUGCUGCUGAUGAUGAGGCGAGAACCCAUAAGCCCCUACAUCAUACAACUAUACGAGUGGUUUGAACAUCCUCGAAAAUUCACUCUGGUCAUGGAGUUCCCUGAACCCUGCGAGAGCUUGCUGGACUUCAUCGUUCGUCAUCCUCAACUGGACGAAACAACAGCGCAGGUCAUCAUGCGACAGGCUGUGCUGGCAGUACAACACUGCGUUGAGCAUGGUGUUUUUCAUAAUGACGUUCAUGCGCAGAACUUCCUGUUGAAGAAAAACACGUUAGAGCUCAAGCUGAUAGACUUUGGCUGCGGUCAGCUGUUGAGCAGCGAUGGCUACGAGAGGAACAUAUACCGUGGAAUACUGGAUUACUGCCCACCUGAAGUCUUGACAGACCCUCGAUUUUACGCCGUCCCAGCGAAUGUCUGGUCUCUAGGAGUGCUGCUGUAUGAGAUGGUGAACGCAUGUUCUCCUUUUCAGGACAGAGCGGAAAUCACACAAGCCAAAGUUACAUUUCAGAACUCCAGCUUAUCCAAAGAAUGCAGAGAUCUGAUUAGCCAGUGCCUAACCCGGGAUCCAACUAAACGGCCGACGUUAGAGCAGAUGUUACAACAUAAAUGGAUUAGAAAUGAUGUAGAUUGGAGAAGUUCAAGAGAUUCACUUUAUCAGUGAUUACAGGAAACAACAGACUUGCUGUCGUCGGUGGAGGGCUUGAACUCGAGAUUUGACUGAAGCCUGAAGUCCAACCCCAGCCUGACAGGAACUCAGAGCCGCCGCACCAGAGACUCAGAGCCUGUCCACGUCUGAGAAGAACACGAGAGACGACAAGACUGGAGAGAAUCGUCAAGUCAUUACAGACACAUGUGCUUCGUUCUAAAAUGUCAAGACGAGUCAUCUUUAUUUAUGACCAAUCUGUCUGUGACUGUAUAUGUAUAUAUGUAUAUAAAAUCUCUAUAUGACCCCUUUGAAUAAAUGUUUUUAGUUGCAUAAAUACUACAUGGUUGCAAGCUUCAGUGCAUUGUAGAGCCUGUCAUAACAAAACAUAAUCCUACA